CAGCAGCCGCGGUAAUACAGAGGGUGCGAGCGUUAAUCGGAUUUACUGGGCGUAAAGCGUGCGUAGGCGGCUAAUUGAGUCGGAUGUGAAAUCCCCGAGCUUAACUUGGGAAUUGCAUUCGAUACUGGUUAGCUAGAGUGUGGGAGAGGAUGGUAGAAUUCCAGGUGUAGCGGUGAAAUGCGUAGAGAUCUGGAGGAAUACCGAUGGCGAAGGCAGCCAUCUGGCCUAAUACUGACGCUGAGGUACGAAAGCAUGGGGAGCAAACAGGAUUAGAUACCCCUGUAGUCCCUGUCUCUUAUAA
rnacentral:rRNA from 1 species